ACGAACGCUGGCGGCGUGCCUAAUACAUGCAAGUCGAACGGUCUUUCUAUGGAAGCUUGCUUCCACUGAGAAGAUAGUGGCGAACGGGUGAGUAACACGUGGGUAACCUGCCCAUAAGAGGGGGAUAACAUCCGGAAACGGGUGCUAAUACCGCAUAGUUUUCUUGAUCGCAUGAUUGAGAAAGGAAAGACGGCCUUUGUGCUGUCGCUUAUGGAUGGACCCGCGGCGUAUUAGUUAGUUGGUGAGGUAACGGCUCACCAAGACGAUGAUACGUAGCCGACCUGAGAGGGUGAUCGGCCACAUUGGGACUGAGACACGGCCCAAACUCCUACGGGAGGCAGCAGUAGGGAAUCUUCCGCAAUGGACGAAAGUCUGACGGAGCAACGCCGCGUGAGUGAAGAAGGUUUUUUCGGAUCGUAAAACUCUGUUGUCAGAGAAGAACAAGUUGGAGAGUAACUGCUCCAGCCUUGACGGUAUCUGACCAGAAAGCCACGGCUAACUACGUGCCAGCAGCAGC
rnacentral:rRNA from 1 species